AGCAGCUCCACUGUUCCGACCCCGGGGGAUGAGAAGACAGCUUGGCUCCCCGCAGGGGCCGUCGGAAAAUACCCCUGGGGUUGGUCCGCGACCAUGACGAGCGACCCUAUUGGCCCAAUACGGGGAAACGAGGCGGAGCUUCCUCUUCUCCGAGCCCCACCUGGGCUUUCAGCCCGCCUCAGGACUGUGCGCCUGCGCGAAGUGCACUGGCUGUGAGCUGCACCUGGACUGUCUUGUGUAUCUGGAGUUGGACAGGCAACUACGUGACUGCAGCCGGGACUGGGGACGAUGGAAGCGGACUGGGUAGUACCUGUUAAGCCUAACAAAGGGUACAACCCCAGAGUACUAGUGCUUGAGCAAGGAAUCCCCCUGCUCACCUUUCAUGUGCAAGUCCUGUUUGAAAAUCAGUUACUUCACAGUGUAAUAAAAUUCACUUGGCAUUUA